rnacentral:rRNA from 1 species
AGCGGCGGACGGGUGAGUAAUGCCUAGGAAAUUGCCCUGAUGUGGGGGAUAACCAUUGGAAACGAUGGCUAAUACCGCAUGAUGCCUACGGGCCAAAGAGGGGGACCUUCGGGCCUCUCGCGUCAGGAUAUGCCUAGGUGGGAUUAGCUAGUUGGUGAGGUAAGGGCUCACCAAGGCGACGAUCCCUAGCUGGUCUGAGAGGAUGAUCAGCCACACUGGAACUGAGACACGGUCCAGACUCCUACGGGAGGCAGCAGUGGGGAAUAUUGCACAAUGGGCGCAAGCCUGAUGCAGCCAUGCCGCGUGUGUGAAGAAGGCCUUCGGGUUGUAAAGCACUUUCAGUCGUGAGGAAGGUGGUAGUGUUAAUAGCACUAUCAUUUGACGUUAGCGACAGAAGAAGCACCGGCUAACUCCGUGCCAGCAGCCGCGGUAAUACGGAGGGUGCGAGCGUUAAUCGGAAUUACUGGGCGUAAAGCGCAUGCAGGUGGUUUGUUAAGUCAGAUGUGAAAGCCCGGGGCUCAACCUCGGAAUAGCAUUUGAAACUGGCAGACUAGAGUACUGUAGAGGGGGGUAGAAUUUCAGGUGUAGCGGUGAAAUGCGUAGAGAUCUGAAGGAAUACCGGUGGCCAAGGCGGCCCCCUGGACAGAUACUGACACUCAGAUGCGAAAGCGUGGGGAGCAAACAGGAUUAGAUACCCUGGUAGUCCACGCCGUAAACGAUGUCUACUUGGAGGUUGUGGCCUUGAGCCGUGGCUUUCGGAGCUAACGCGUUAAGUAGACCGCCUGGGGAGUACGGUCGCAAGAUUAAAACUCAAAUGAAUUGACGGGGGCCCGCACAAGCGGUGGAGCAUGUGGUUUAAUUCGAUGCAACGCGAAGAACCUUACCUACUCUUGACAUCCAGAGAACUUUCCAGAGAUGGAUUGGUGCCUUCGGGAACUCUGAGACAGGUGCUGCAUGGCUGUCGUCAGCUCGUGUUGUGAAAUGUUGGGUUAAGUCCCGCAACGAGCGCAACCCUUAUCCUUGUUUGCCAGCGAGUAAUGUCGGGAACUCCAGGGAGACUGCCGGUGAUAAACCGGAGGAAGGUGGGGACGACGUCAAGUCAUCAUGGCCCUUACGAGUAGGGCUACACACGUGCUACAAUGGCGCAUACAGAGGGCGGCCAACUUGCGAAAGUGAGCGAAUCCCAAAAAGUGCGUCGUAGUCCGGAUUGGAGUCUGCAACUCGACUCCAUGAAGUCGGAAUCGCUAGUAAUCGUGGAUCAGAAUGCCACGGUGAAUACGUUCCCGGGCCUUGUACACACCGCCCGUCACACCAU